rnacentral:tRNA from 1 species
AAUGAAAUGGCCGAGUUUAGGUAUUAAACUGUAAAUUUAAUCACAGGAUGGGUCUCCUUUUCGUUA